ensembl:lncRNA
CCCAGGAGCACAGCCAGAACCUUGGAGGAAAGGACUGCUCUGCAGUAAGUCACAACUUUACAGCGGUGUAAAACAAAAAGUAGCCCCAAACAAUUAAUGCUAUACCUGACACUUAUUUACGAGUACAGAGAAGCAAUUUGAAAGCUGUAAAAUCCGUCACCAGCCUUGUUUAAACUCAACCUGUGAAAGACAUGGGUGCCCAUGGCUUUUAUUGCUGGCAGUGCAAUAGCUUUGUAGACCUUGUUAAAUAAGUUGCGUCCGAUGCACAGGUGGUGUAAAUCAAACUGCUGCGGUUAAUCCAGCACACGAGCGGUCACAUGGGGCUCAUGGAAGCCUUGUGCAGCCAGUGCUGCUCAGGGAGCUCUGACGACAGCUGUAGGCUCCAUAAGCUGCAGAAAGGACAGGUUCUGGUGUCUCAUCUCAGUCUCCUGAAGCUUAUGCUGCAGCCCUUUCCUCCACUCCAUCCCCCCCUCCCGUUCCCUCGCUGUUCUCAUGUCCUGUUCAGGGUCGUGGAGAUGGCAGCCACAAACAGAUUUAGCCAGCGGUGGUGGAAUGAUUGUUUUUACAGGAAAUGUCAGGGUAAGACCGAGGGCUGUGUUUCUCCCCACUGGGAGCUGGAGGAGGAGCUGGGUUUUGGCAGCGGGCUGUGUUAGCACAGUGCUUCAAGAUGAGUAAAUAGCUCCAGGUAAAAGGGUGGUGAGGAUUUGCGUUGAGUUGCUGUCACCUGAGAAAGUGCAUUUAUUGCUGACUUCUCUCACAGUGGAAGGAAGAGCCUGUGCCUGAGCUAUGGCCAUCCAGCCUGGCUCCUUUUGCCCUUCUCCCAACCCCAUGAUGUGAGAGCAAGAAGGACACAGCACUGCUGAACUUGACCAGGUGGUCUGCCGGGGCCUCCUCCCCUAUAACACAUCAUCUAGUCUAAAUCCCCUGCAAUGAACAGGGACCCCUACAGCAAGAUCAGGUUGCUCUAGCUGUCACUUGGCAACAGCCGUGUUUAUACCUUGGCCUGGACUGUCAUCAGUGGGACCCCCUGUAGCAUGUUUCACAGGAUGGCUAAGGCUGGAAGGGACCUCUUCUGGAGGACAUCUGGUCCAGAAUGGCUUCCUCCAUACCUCCACUGUAGUUCUUCAGUGAGAUGAGCUUCUUGCUACGUCUGACUCUGCAAAGCCCCAGGAUGGCGUGGUGAGAACUGGGGGCUCACGGAGAUGUCUCUGGCAGCUGUACAAGCAGCUGCACCACAGCAAUGGGAAUACUAUGAUUUGUCUGGAAGAGGUUGGGAAAACUGAUGCCAGCCCUCGAAAAGAGGAUCUCUACUUUGUGCGUACUAGGAGUUGGCCAUCUACAACUAUAGCUAGCUAC